UACGUAGGGUGCAAGCGUUGUCCGGAAUUAUUGGGCGUAAAGAGCUCGUAGGUGGCCUGUCGCGUCGGCUGUGAAAAACUCGGGGGCUCAACUCCGAGCUUGCAGUCGAUACGGGCAGGCUAGAGUUCGGCAGGGGGAGACUGGAAUUCCUGGUGUAGCGGUGAAAAUGCGCAGAUAUCAGGAGGAACACCGGUGGCGAAGGCGGGUCUCUGGGGCCGAUACUGACACUGAGGAGCGAAAAGCGUGGGGGGAGCGAAACAGGG
rnacentral:rRNA from 1 species